ensembl:lncRNA
GUCAGACUUGUUCCCAGUGCAUGUUGGACUCCGGCAGGGCUGCCCUUUGUCACCGGAUCUGUUCAUAAUUUUUAUGGACAGAAUUUCUAAGCGCAGCCAGGGGCCGGAGGGUGUCAGGUUUGGGGACCACACAAUUUCGUCUCUGCUCUUUGCAGAUGAUGUUGUCGUGUUGGCCCCUUCUAACCAGGACCUUCAGCAUGCACUGGGACGGUUUGCAGCCGAGUAUUUGGAGGUACUGAUUUUCAUCCCCACCGCUUCACACUCGGCUGCAAACCGUCCCAGUGCAUGCUGAAGGUCCUGGUUAG